rnacentral:rRNA from 1 species
UACGGAGGGAGCUAGCGUUGUUCGGAAUUACUGGGCGUAAAGCGCACGUAGGCGGAUUUGUAAGUCAGGGGUGAAAUCCCGGGGCUCAACCUCGGAACUGCCUUUGAUACUGCAAAUCUCGAGUCCGGAAGAGGCGAGUGGAAUUCCUGGUGUAGCGGUGGAAUGCGCAGAUAUCAGGAGGAACACCGAUAGCGAAGGCAGCUCGCUGGGACGGUACUGACGCUGAGGCGCGAAAGCGUGGGGAGCGAACAGG